rnacentral:rRNA from 1 species
UACGAAGGGGGCUAGCGUUGUUCGGAAUCACUGGGCGUAAAGCGCGUGUAGGCGGAUCGUUAAGUCGGGGGUGAAAGCCUGAGGCUCAACCUCAGAACUGCCUUCGAUACUGGCGAUCUUAGAGUCCGGGAGAGGUGAGUGGAACUCCUAGUGUAGAGGUGAAAUUCGUAGAUAUUAGGAAGAACACCAGUGGCGAAGGCGGCUCACUGGCCCGGUACUGACGCUGAUAUGCGAAAGCGUGGGGAGCAAACAGG